UGGGAUGUAGCCAAGUGGUAAGGCAGCGGUUUUUGAUACCGUCAUCCGAAGGUUCGAAUCCUUCCAUCCCAGCCA
rnacentral:tRNA from 1 species